rnacentral:rRNA from 1 species
UGCCAGCAGCCGCGGUAACACGAACCGUACGAACGUUGUUCGGAAUUACUGGGCGUAAAGCGCACGUAGGCGGACUGGAAAGUUGGGGGUGAAAUCCCAGGGCUCAACCCUGGAACUGCCUCCAAAACUAUCAGUCUAGAGUUCGAGAGAGGUGAGUGGAAUUCCGAGUGUAGAGGUGAAAUUCGUAGAUAUUCGGAGGAACACCAGUGGCGAAGGCGGCUCACUGGCUCGAUACUGACGCUGAGGUGCGAAAGUGUGGGGAGCAAACAGGAUUAGAUA